UUUAUGAUGGCGACCGGCGCACGGGUGAGUAACGCGUAUCCAACCUACCCAUUACUAGGGAAUAACCCAGCGAAAGUUGGCCUAAUGCCCUAUGUAGUCGUUUGAUCGCCUGAGAUUUCGACGAAAGAUUUAUCGGUAUUGGAUGGGGAUGCGUCUGAUUAGCUUGUUGGCGGGGUAAAGGCCCACCAAGGCAACGAUCAGUAGGGGUUCUGAGAGGAAGGUCCCCCACAUUGGAACUGAGACACGGUCCAAACUCCUACGGGAGGCAGCAGGG
rnacentral:rRNA from 1 species